UCUCCAGUAAUUAUGCUGCAGUAGUUUAUGAGUCGGGGGGCUAGGGUCAGUCUGUUAUAUCUGGAGUAUUUCUCCUGUCUUAUCCGGUGUCCUGUGUGAAUUUAAGUAUGCUCUCUCUAAUUCUCUCUUUCUUUCGUUCUUUCUUUCUUUCUU